UACGAAGGGUGCAAGCGUUACUCGGAAUUACUGGGCGUAAAGGGUGCGUAGGUGGUCGUUUAAGUCCGUUGUGAAAUCCCUGGGCUCAACCUGGGAAUGGCAGUGGAUACUGGACGGCUAGAAUGCGGUAGAGGGUAGUGGAAUUCCCGGUGUAGCAGUGAAAGUGCGUAGAGAUCGGGAGGAACACCCGCGGCGAAGGCGGCCACCUGGACCGACCCGUGACCGCUGAGGCGCGAAGGCCGGGGGAGCGGAA
rnacentral:rRNA from 1 species